AAAGGAAUAGACGGGGACCCGCACAAGCGGUGGAGCAUGUGCUUUAAUUCGAUGCAACGCGUAGAACCUUACCCGGUCUUGACAUAGUUCUGACAAGUCCAGAGAUGGAUUCUUCAGUAAUGACAGGAUAUACAGAUGCUGCAUGGUUGUCGUCAGCUCGUGUCGUGAGAUGUUGGGUUAAGUCCCGCAACGAGCGCAACCCUUGCCAAUAGUUGCCAGCGAGUUAUGUCGGGGACUCUAUUGGGACUGCCUUCGCAAGGAGGAGGAAGGUGGGGAUGACGUCAAAUCAUCAUGGCUCUUACGACCGGGGCUAGACACGUGCUACAAUGGCGAAUACAAUGAGUCGCUACUUGGUAACAAGAUGCUAAUCUCAAAAAAUUCGUCUCAGUUCGGAUUGAGGUCUGCAACUCGACCUCAUGAAGUUGGAAUCGCUAGUAAUCGCAGGUCAGAAUACCGCGGUGAAUACGUUCCCGGGUCUUGUACACACCGCCCGU
rnacentral:rRNA from 1 species